rnacentral:rRNA from 1 species
AAAAAAAAGAAAAAAACGCCCUCUUUCUAAGUAAACUCAUCCCACUAGAUCUCCGGCCCGAUAUUCUUUUAAGCCUCCGGUCGGCGCUUACGUAACGGAAAAGGAGCUCAAAUCGAGUCCUUCUUUGGAGGAACCAAGGUCGAUCCCCUUAGCUACUACCUGCCUUGCCCCUGCAUCGCCUACUAGUGAUGGUGGCCAUGUACCUUCUACACCUCUAGUAAGUAUCAAACCCACAGUUGAGGAUGUCUAAGAGUUAAAGUACCCGCUCUUAGGAUGGUUCUCCGGCCGAACCUCCGCAAUUAAGUCGACCUCAUCGCAAGAUGCUGGCGGACUAACUACGUGAGCACGUGUUUCCCUAUCUCGGUAAACACUGUGACGUAGUGAAACUAGACGGCGUGCUUUACCUCUGGGCUAUGCCGCCAACCGACCCGCGGCUUUAGGCCCUCCUCAAACUGAUGAUGCGGCUGCACACGAAGUUCCGCAAACCACUGGCCCACUUCAAGACCCGUUGCAAGUUGCUCGGGUUGGACAAGUGGUCCGAACGUAUGCACGACCCGUUCAUGGGAGGCCGUGCGACGAGGUGCGGCAAGCCCUGUACGUUCUCGCCCUUGAGAGUAGCCCUUGGGAUGCAGCGCCGAGUAUUGUACGACAACAGUGUACGUCGGCGGCAGGUGUUGAUGUUCUUCUUAAUAGUCCGUUGCGUUCCGCCUAGCUAGCCAUAGCACUAACGCUACUUUACCAUACUCGGCGACUGCUUAUGGUGCCUCCUAUAGGACCGACGCGCUGCACGGAACAGAAAACUCCAUCUAACCAAAAACCUCGGCUAUAAGAAACCACUAAUAGGGUCUCUUUACGUACUCAACAAUAGUAGGUUGAAUGGUUUCAAGUG